rnacentral:misc_RNA from 1 species
ACGUAAGCUGCAUUCCUCCACCUGAAAAGCAGGGAUGAUUUUUUAUCAGAAACUAGAUAAUGAAAGAGUUGCACUACACUACCUGAAUUUAAACCCACCCUUGGAUUGGUGGAUCCCACCAAUACUUGUAGGACCCACUGGAUGGACCCACCAAUCACAUGUUGCAUAAAUUUGGAAACACAUGAAUUGGGGAUUCUAAGAUUUUUGCUAAUGAAGCUUGAACGUAUGAAGAGCUAGCUUGAAUGAAAAUACUGGGGCAACCAUUUGUUUUACAUCAUUUUUACUCUUUUUAUUCAUUCAUUUCAGAUUUACCUCAUAGCACGACUUGAGUACCUCUUAGCUAAAACUCAUUUGCAGAUUUUGUGUUCAUUAGUUCAUGAGCACCAAAGCACUCAGCAGUUAACAAGGAAGUUAAGUGAAAAAUAUUCAACAAAUAGACCAACAAUUCUCAGUUUGGCAAUGCAACCCGCGCGUUUAUAUUUAUAUAUAUAUUGAAAUAUGUGAUUUAUAAAAUACAAAUAUAAUGCUGUGUGUCAAACCUGUGAUUUACGUGUGAUAUA